UCAGAGAGCAAUACUUGCCUCAUUUCCCACAACUCCCUGAAGGGCCAUUGUGUGUGUUGAUUAGUCUCUGAAAUUAAGAAAAGGACUCAUAAAGCAUUUAAGGAUCUUUGCUGAUGUUUUUAACCUUAUACAUGUUUUCUUAUCUGGCUUAACCAGUUUUGAAAGACAAGCGUUUCAUCGUCUUGAGAACGCUGACUUAUGAUGCCCUUAAUUGGCAUUAAGGAAACAAACUCUGGGAAAGAAUGAUGAUGUCCUGUUACAUUCUCAUCUUUGUAUUGCUCUCUCAAGGGCACCCAGCCUCCCUGGGGAGGUGAAGGCUACCUUUACACGUCUUCCCAUCCAACUGGAGAGUGAAUCCAACAGGACAACUGCAGUGGACACCUGUCGAAGUAUCCUUACAGGUGCGGUCACAGCCUCCAUUGUUGACAGCACACGUUUCUGGCAAGGAGAAAUAUGGGGGAGGAGGAGCCAGAAGAAGAAACAGCUCGAAGAAUUGACUAUUGUUGCCUCUGGCAAAAGGGAUGAGGAAAUGGGAAGUUAUGAGACAAGGAAAUGAUGAGUUUCAUUACAAGCCUAGAAGUAAUUAAGUUUCUGUGUUAUUCAUUUGUACUAUUUUCACUUAAGACAAUGAAAAAUUAUAAUUUCUAAAGAGCUCAGAAAGGUUACCUGCUUGGUAACCAAUGGCUGUAUGAUAUGUUGCCUGACUGUUAAAUCCAGAAACUGUCAAAAGAUGGGUUUUGUUUAGGCUGAGCCAGACUUUCUCCAGAAGGAGUAACGCGCCAAAGGAUCUGUCUGACUCCCACCCCCACGGCCACCACUUCUAUUUCUGCUCAUCUCCAGCUUGACUGCUGGACCUUCAGGCAGGCCUUCCCUUGUCCCACAGCCAAGUGCUGCCCCUCUCCAUUCAUCUCUUCUACCAUUAUCAUCAGCUGAGUCAGAAAUAGAAGACUCAGUGGACACAAAAAAAGACUAGCCACCAUUCUGAGCUAGAGGCUGCUUCAGAGGAAGAGAGCUGACCUCAAUGACCACCCACUCAGUCCCAGGCACUAGACUCUGGGCACCUUUCCAUAUUAUUAUUUUAAUUGAGCAUCCCAACUGAUAUGGUCAGGCUUUAUGUCCCCACUCAAAUCUCAUCCUGAAUUAUAAUCCCCGUAAUCCCCUCGUGUCAAGGGAGAGACCAGGUGGAGGUGACUGGAUUUUGGGGGCGGUUCCCAUGCUGUUCUCAUGAUAGAGUGAGAUCAUGAGAUCUUGUGGUUUUACAAGUGUUUGGUAGUUCCUCCUGCAUUUAUCCUACCACCUUGUGAAGAAGGUACCUUGCUUUCCCUUUGCCAUCCACCAUGAUUAUAAGUUUCCUGAGGCCUCCCCAGCCAUGUGGAACUGUGAGUCAAUUAAGCCUCUUUUCUUUAUCAAUUACCCAGUCUCAGGUAGUUCUUUAUAGCAGUAUGAAAAUGGGCGAAAACCCUGGCCCUAAGAGGUAGCCUUUACUACAUCCAUUUCAAAGAAAGACCAAGAGACAGAGCCUCAGGGCAGUUUGCCAAGUCUUACAGCUAGGUGGGGGCUGCAUUGGGAUGUUAA